rnacentral:rRNA from 1 species
ACGCUCGACACCUACGGGAGGCAGCAGUGGGGAAUAUUGCACAAUGGGGGAAACCCUGAUGCAGCGACGCCGCGUGAGCGAAGAAGUAUUUCGGUAUGUAAAGCUCUAUCAGCAGGGAAGAAACUGACGGUACCUGACUAAGAAGCACCGGCUAAAUACGUGCUAGCAGCCGCGGUAAUCUGAGCGGGCUGGCAAGGC